AGGGGAUUUGUGUAAUGGUAGCACAGCAGACUCUGACUCUGUAUGUAGAGGUUCGAAUCCUUUAUCCCCUGCCA
rnacentral:tRNA from 2 species